CACAGAGUAGAUGGUUUGCGUUAAGUGUAUGUGGAUGGGAUGUUGCCACAUAACGAAGCUUAAAGCGCGGUAAAUCAUUGCAUCCGCUGUC
rfam:Streptococcus macacae NCTC 11558 final_molecule, whole genome shotgun sequence.